rnacentral:rRNA from 1 species
UACGGAGGGUGCGAGCGUUGUCCGGAAUCAUUGGGCGUAAAGGGCGCGUAGGUGGCCCGGUCAGUUCGUGGUGAAAGCGCGGGGCUCAACCCCGCGUCGGCCAUGAAUACUGCCGCGGCUGGAGCACUGUAGAGGCAGGCGGAAUUCCGGGUGUAGCGGUGGAAUGCGUAGAGAUCCGGAAGAACACCGGUGGCGAAGGCGGCCUGCUGGGCAGUCGCUGACACUGAGGCGCGACAGCGUGGGGAGCAAACAGG